UACGGAGGAUCCGAGCGUUAUCCGGAUUUAUUGGGUUUAAAGGGUGCGUAGGCGGGCUGUUAAGUCAGCGGUGAAACCCCCGGGCUCAACCCGGGGACUGCCAUUGAAACUGGCGGCCUUGAGUACGUUGGGAGUGCGCGGAAUGUGUGGUGUAGCGGUGAAAUGCAUAGAUAUCACACAGAACACCGAUCGCGUAGGCAGCGCGCUACGCCGCAACUGACGCUGAGGCACGAAGGCGCGGGGAU
rnacentral:rRNA from 1 species